rnacentral:lncRNA from 1 species
CGCCGCAAGGUGCCGUGCGCAUGCGGCGAAGCUUAGUAAGUUGUUGUUGAUUGCCAUCGGUUGUUGUGGGUUGUGUCUGGAAUCUCUCGUGGUGGCUGAUGGCUUUCGACAACAAGCCGCAAGGUGCCGUGCGCAUGCGGCGAAGCUUAGUAAGUUGUUGUUGAUUGCCAUCGGUUGUUGUGGGUUGUGCCUGGAGUCUCUCGUGGCGGCUGAUUGCUUUCGACAACGAACAACGGAGCGUCGUGCAAGUAGCGCCGCAAGGUGCCGUGCGCAUGGGGUGAUGCUAAAUUGAUGUCGAUUGCCAUCGGUUGUUGGGGGUUGUGUUUGUAAACCCCCCUCCGUGGCGGCUUAUGGAUUUUGACAACGAACGGCGGAGCAUCGUGCAAGUAGCGCCACAAGGUGCCGUGCGCACGGGGCGAAGCUCAAUAGAUGUUCAUUGCCAUCGGUUGUUGCGGGAAACAUCAAGAGGCGACAUCUCUCGUGGCAGCUGAUGGCUUUUUGCAACAAAAUGGCAAUGCAUCGUGCAAGUAGCGUCGCAAGGUGCCGUGUGCUCGGGGCGAAGCUUAGUAAGUUGCCGAUUGCCAUCGGUUGUUGCGGGCAACAUCGGGAGGCGACNNNNNNNNNNNNNNNNNNNNNNNNNNNNNNNNNNNNNNNNNNNNNNNNNNAUCGUUAGUGGCGGCUGAUGGCUUUUGGCAACAAAAUGGCAAAGCAUCGUGCAAGUAGCGCCGCACGGUGCCAUGCGCACGGGGCGAAGCUUAGUAAGUUGCCGAUUGCCAUCGGUUGUUGCAGUCAACAUCGGAGGCGACAUUGCUCGUGGCAGCUGAUGGCUUUUGGCAAAAAAACGGCAACGCAUCGUGCAAGUAGCACCGCUAGGUGCCGUGCGCACGGGGUGAAGCUUAGUAAGUUGCCGAUUGCCAUCAGUUGUUGUUGGUUGUGUCUGGCACUGUUCAAACCCUCUAUUCGUGCUUUGCAGGGCUUGUCUUGGCUUUGUAAUGUUGGCAUCGGCAACAACAUAUGGCUGCGUGUCACGUGUUGGGGCUGGUGUUGGCUUUGUAUCGGCGAGGCAAGUGUACGUGCGGCACAUGAGNNNNNNNNNNNNNNNNNNNNNNNNNNNNNNNNNNNNNNNNNNNNNNNNNNNNNNNNNNNNNNNNNNNNNNNNNNNNNNNNNNNNNNNNNNNNNNNNNNNNNNNNNNNNNNNNNNNNNNNNNNNNNNNNNNNNNNNGGCCGCACGCGCGCUACCUAGCUCGCAUGCCAUCUCAGUCAUGUCAUAAGCGCAAAUUAGGCUUGUUCAACGUCGGGUUUCUGUGUUGCAUACCUAAUGCCAAGGCUUAUCAAGCACAAUCGGUCGCCUUUCACCCCUCGCGUUCGACGUGCGGGGUGAACCAAAAGCUGAUUGCCCAAAGAAUGCUCCAUACGAAUGACGGUCGUGCUUGCCUUGGACUUGUCCGUGCCCUUUUGGGUCGGCCACGCUCAUGCGAUGCCGGCGUCAAUGAGGAAUGCUACCUGGUUGAUCCUGCCAGUAGUCAUAUGAUUGUCUCAAAGAUUAAGCCAUACAUGUGUAAGUAUGAACAAAUUCAGAAUGUGAAACUGCGAAUGGCUUAUUAAAUCAGUUUUUGUUUGUUUGAUGGUAUCUACUACUCGGAUAACCGUAGUAAUUCUAGGGCAAAUACGUACAACAAACCCCGACUUCUGGAAGGGAUGCAUUUAUUAGAUAAAAGGUCGACGCGAGCUCUGCCCGUUGCUUCUAAUACGUGCAACAAACCCCGACUUCUGGAAAGGAUGCAUUUAUUAGAUAAAAGGUUGACGCGGGCUCUUCCUGUUGCUGCGAUGAUUCAUGAUAACUCGACGGAUCGCACGGCCAUCGUGCCGGCGACGCAUCAUUCAAAUUUCUGCCCUAUCAACUUUCGAUGGUAGGAUAGAGGCCUACUGCUAUGACCCCAAAUAUUUACUUGACAUGGCUUCGUGGAAGCGUUGACAAGCAAUUUACAAGGCUGGGUGUGUGUCUUAGUUGGUGAUGGGCUUAAGCAAGGCAGCUAGACAAGGCAGCUGGAGUGUUGGCAAGGCGGCCUUGGUUUGUGGGCAUCGGCUAUGGCAAAUGGAAGCAUGGCACUUGACAAAGGCAUGCGCGGUCGCUGGGACGACUUGACUUAUAGCAGGGCGUGGAUAUGAAAAUAAGGGCGAGGCAAGGUCCAAGGAAAAGCUGGGCUGGAGCAUGCGCGGAUCGGUGGGACGACUUAAUUUAUUGCAGGGCGUGGCUAUGAAAUUAAGGGCGAGGCUAGGUCCAAGGCAAACUUGGGCAAAGGCAUACGUGGAUCGAUGGGACGACUUAAUUCAUAUGAGGCCGUGGCUAUGGAAUUAAGGGCGAGGCAAGAUCCAAGGCAAAGCUGGGCUGGAGACAAAGAAAACGUGGGCAAGGCUAGAGGCCAUCGUGCAUGGCAUGUGACAAAGUGGUGUCAAGGACAUGUGCUGGAAGUUGAAGACAUGAUCUAAGAACAUGGGCGGUUGGCUACAAAGUGGAAGACAUGGUAGCAACUGCUCGAAACCACCUAAGGCAUGUGCAUGGCACAUGGUAGAAACUGCCCCUUUGUAAUUGUCCCUUUGUAAAUGCCAUUGGCAUCCCCUCUAUAUAGAUUGUAUCUCCGUCUGUGGAGAAGGCAAGUAGCAUUACAUAUGUGAGCAAAGUCUAAAAAGAGUGUCCUUUGUAUAUUUUGCGAGAAUUAAAAAAGGUUGGGUUUUACCCGUAAAUUCUGUGUGUGUUCUUAGUUUGGCAAAAGUCUGAAAAUCCCUAAGUCAGACUGUGUGUGUGCGAAAAGUGAAGGCUGAAGUGGCGGUGAGCUGCUGUCGUGCAGUGUCUAUUUUUGCGAAAAAUUGACCCUGUAACAAUUGGUAUCAGAGCUUUUUGGUUGUAACUCUUGAUCAUGGCGGGUGGGUCUACUUCAAACUUACGUGAUAGAAUGCAACGGUUGGAGGCGCUAAUCAGCGUGACCGAUGAUCCUUUGGAUAUGGCAGAUCUUAUAACAGGCGUGAUAGAGUGCAAUGGUUGGAGGCACUAAUCGGCGUGACCGAUGAUCCUUUGGAUAUGGCAGAUCUUAUUACAGAGAUUUACCGUCUAAAGGAUGGGGCAGAUCAGUUUCGCGAUGGAGUCCAACAAAGUUGUGAAUCAACGGAUGGCGUAGUUGAAGACCUGAAGAAGGAGGUUGACAACAUGAAGGCCGAAAUCACUGUUCUUCGACGGGCGUUGGCAGCUCCAAGCCAAGGCAAUGAAGAAUGCUCGAAGGUAAAGAUUCCUGAUCCAAAGGCGUUUGGUGGAACGCGUAGUGCAAAAGAAUUGGAGAAUUUACUGUGGGAGAUGGAACCUUUUUUUUGGUUGCCAAAGUUCCAAAUGCUGAGAAGGUCACAAUUACUAGCAUGUAUCUAAUUGGAGAUGCUAAAUUGUGGUGGAGAACUCGUAGGGUGGAGGAUGAAAGUGCGGGCAGACCGAAAAUUGAUACAUGGGAGAAACUCAGAAAAGAAAUGAAGGACCAAUUCUUGCCUAGCAAUGCAUCUUGGAUUGCUCGAGACCAUUGUGGAGAACUCGUAGGGUGGACGAUGAAAGUGCGGGCAGACCGAAAAUUGAUACAUGGGAGAAGCUCAGUAAAGAAAUGAAGGACCAAUUUUUGCCUAGCAAUGCAUCUUGGCUUGCUAGAGACCAUUUGAAACGCUUGCGACAAACGGGAUCUAUGGGAGAAGCUCAGAAAAGAAAUGAAGGACCAAUUCUUGCAUACAAUGCAUCUUGGCUUGCUAGAGACCAUUUGAAACGCUUGCGUCAAACGGGAUCUAUUCGAGAUUAUUUUAAGGAAUUCUCUUCCUUAAUGUUGGAUGUUCAAAACGUGUCAAAGGACGACAAAUUGCAUAACUUUAUUUCUGGAGUGCAAGCAUGGGCGCAGAAUGAACUUAGGAGAAAGACUGUGAAGGACCUCCCAAGUGCAAUGGCUGCAGCGGAUUCACUGGUGGAUUAUCGCAGCACCCGUACUCUUUCGGAUAUUCGUCCUACUUCAAAACCUAACAAACGGGUGGAGAAGAAAGGGGAAUGGAUUAAGGAAGUUCGAGAGAAAGUUGUUGAGAAGGGCAAGGUUGUCGAUGGGGCUGUUCAAAACAAAGGCGUCGCAAACAGGAAAACUUAUGGUUGCUGGACGUGCGGAGGACCUCAUCUUGCCAGAGACAGUCCAAAUCGGGAGCGGGUAAAUGCUUUGCUUGCAAGAGAAAAUAAUCGGGAUGGAGAAGGUGAAGAAAGUGUUGCUGCCUUGGUAAAUACUUUGCAAUUGUUGAAUGUUAUCUCGUUAAAUACUACAAGUAACGAGACGAACCCUUAUUCUUUGCUGAUGCACAUUGAAAUGAGAAUUGGGGACAGAAGUGUGAUAGCAAUGGUAGAUACUGGCGCUACUCACGCCCUUAUUUCUGCCAGUUUGGUGCAUAAGUAUCGAUUGAGAGUGUCGAAAUGUCCCCUUCAUAAAGACUGUGAACACCAAAGCACAAGCCAUUGUGGGUAUGGCUUAUGAUGUUCCUAUGUCUGUUGGGAAGUGGAAACGGAAGGUCAAUUUGAUGGUGAUUCCACAAGCCAUUGUGGGUAUGGCUUAUGAUGUUCAUAUGUCUGUUGGGAAGUGGAAAGGGAAGGUCAAUUUGAUGGUGUUUCCAAUGGAAGAGUUUGAGGUGAUCCUCGGAAUUGACUUCAUGCGGAAACAUCACUUUGUUCNNNNNNNNNNNNNNNNNNNNNNNNNNNNNNNNNNNNNNNNNNNNNNNNNNNNNNNNNNNGGUAGUUCACUUUAUUCCAAUGCCUCAUUUGAACGAAGUGAUGAUCACGAAUGAUAUGUCUCUUGGUUUCGUGAAAGCUAUUUAUCCUUAUGGAGGAGAAGAAAUUCAAAGUAAGGCCUCGUUAAAUUCUGCCAUGUUGGUUGGAAAAGGGUUGAAGAAGGGAGGUGAGACUUUCCUUGCUGCUGGGGUUGAAGUGAAGCCUGAUGUUAAGGUUGAAGUGCCGGAUUGCGUUACUCAAAUCUUGAGUGACUUCACGGAGGUGAUGCCACCAGAGUUGCCUAAAACUCUGCCACCACGGAGGGCUAUUGAUCACACGAUAGAGAUGAUACCGGGUUCUAUGCUUCCUGCUCAAUCGCAUAGGGCGUUGAACAAGGUGACGGGGAAAAAUAACUAUCCUGUUCCGUUGGUGCAAGAGUUGGCUGAAUUGUGGGAGAAAUUGAGCAAGGCAUGCUGGUUCAUGAAGCUUGAUAUACGGUCUGGUUAUUGGCAGGUACGGAUAGCUGAAGUUGAUAAGUCUACAACUACUUGUGUUACGAGGUAUGGCUCAUAUGAAUUCCUUGUUAUGCCGUUCGAAUGGAUAGAUACCCCUACUACAUUUUGCAACCUCAUGAAUGACGGGUUGUAUGAGUACAUAGAUUACUUUGUCGUUGUCUACUUAGACGACAUUGUUAUCUAUAGUCAGAAUUUGGAUGAACAUAUGUCACACUUGAUAAAAGUGAUGUCUCGGUUGAGGGAGUACAAGCUAUAUGUUAAAAUAGGGAAGUGUGAAUUUGCUAAAUAGGAGAUCAAAUUUCCUGGGCACUUGGUGAGCCUUGUCUUGGUUGAGGGAGUACAAGCUGUAUGGGAAGUGUGAGUUUUCUAGACAGGAGAUCAAAUUUAAUGGGCACUUGGUGAGCCAGAAUCAGGUGCAGAUGGACCCGAAUAAGGUGCAGGUCAGUGCGGAGUGGCAUGUGCCGAAAGCUGUGAAAGAAUUGAGAUCUUUCCUCGGGUUGGCUAAUUAUUAUCAUAAAUUCAUUGAUGGUUACUCAGAGAAGUUGUUUCUUUGACGGAUGUGUUGAAGAAGAAUGUCAAAGGGAAUUGGUUGGGAAAAUGCUGGUCAGCAUUUGGUGUGUCGAAAGAAGCCAUUGCCUCAUAACCAAUCUUGCGGCUUGUUGAGUUUGAGUUACUGUUUGAAGUGCAUACAGAUACAUCCAACAAGGCUUUUGGAGGCGUGCUGGUUCAAGAAGGUCAUCCUGUGGCCUUUGAAAUAAGAAAGUUGAAUGAAGCAUAACAAAGGUAUUUGGCUCGUGAGGAGGAAGUCUUUGUUGCUGGUUAUUCCCCUACAGGACUUGUGUUAUAUUUUGUUGAUAAAUUCAAGUCUGAUGCUAUGAAUGAUCCAUUGUACAUAAACACAAUGAAUCAUGCGAAGGAAGGUAAUGUGCGACGGUACUAGAUCAAGGGCAACAAGGUAUUGCUGGAUAGAACCUUGGUUGCGAAAUAUAGUGGUCCGUUUGAAGAUCAAAUCGAGGGCUACUUGAGAUUAACCUCAACGAGGGCGUCGAGUUCAAUUGGUGGGGGUGGUUUGUUACUACCCAAAAUAUUGACAUGACGGAUGUCGGGCAGAAUUCAUAUUGAGGGAUUGUGCAUUGCCCCUUGACAUGUCUUCGUUGAAGCAUUAACAAGCAAUGUACAAGGAUGGGUGUGUGUCUAAGUUGGUGAUGGGCUUAGGCAAGGAAGCUGGAGUGUUGGCAAGGCGCCCUUGAUUCGUGGGCAUCGGCUAUGGCAAAUGGAAGCAUGGCACUUGACAAAGGCAUGCGCGGAUCUGUGGGACGACUUAAUUGAUAGCAGGGCGUGGCUAUGAAAUUAAGGGCGAGGCAAGGUCCAAGGCAAAGUGGGGCAAAGGUAUGUGCGGAUCGGUGGGACGAUUUAAUUCAUAGCAGGGCGUGGCUAUGAAAUUAUAGGCGAGGCAAGGUCCAAUACAGCAACUUGAUUCAUAGAAGGGCGUGGCUAUGAAAUUAAGGGCGAGGCAAGGUCCAAGGUAAAGCGGGGCAAAGGCGCAUGCGGAUCUGUGGGAUGACUUAACUCAUAGCAGGGUGUGGCUAUGGAAUUAAGGGCGAGGCAAGGUCCAAGGCAAAGCGGGGCUGGAGACAAAGAAAACGUGGGAAAGGCUAGAGGCCAUCGUGCAUGGCAUGUGACUAAGUGGUGUCAAUGACAUGUGAUGGAAGUUGAAGACAUGAUCUAAGAACAUGGGCGGGUUGGCUACAAAGUGGAAGACGUGGUAGCAACUGCCCGAAACCACCUAAGGCAUGUGCAUGGCACAUGGUAGAAACUGCCCCUUUGUAACUGUCCCUUUGUAACUGCCUUUGGCAGCCCCUUCUAUGGAAUUAAGGGCGAGGCAAGGUCCAAGGCAAAGCGGGGCUGGAGACAAAGAAAACGUGGGCAAGGCUAGAGGCCAUCAUGCAUGGCAAGUGACUAAGUGGUGUCAAGGACAUGUGCUGGAAGCUGAAGACAUGAUCUAAGAACAUGGGCGGGUUGGCUACAAAGUGGAAGACGUGGUAGCAACUGCCCGAAACCACCUAAGGCAUGUGCAUGGCACAUGGUAGAAACUGCCCCUUUGUAACUGUCCCUUUGUAACUGCCUUUGGCAGCCCCUUAAGUGGUGUCAAGGACAUGUGCUGGAAGCUGAAGACAUGAUCUAAGAACAUGGGCGGGUUGGCUACAAAGUGGAAGA